rnacentral:rRNA from 1 species
UACAGAGGUCUCAAGCGUUGUUCGGAUUCAUUGGGCGUAAAGGGUGUGUAGGUGGCGCGCUAAGUCGGGUGUGAAAUUUCGGAGCUUAACUCCGAAACUGCAUUCGAUACUGGCGUGCUUGAGGACUGGAGAGGAGACUGGAAUACUUGGUGUAGCAGUGAAAUGCGUAGAUAUCAAGUGGAACACCAGUGGCGAAGGCGAGUCUCUGGGCCGUAACUGACGCUGAGGAGCGAAAGCGUGGGGAGCGAACAGG